rnacentral:rRNA from 1 species
GGGGAGUACGGCCGCAAGGUUAAAACUCAAAUGAAUUGACGGGGGCCCGCACAAGCGGUGGAGCAUGUGGUUUAAUUCGAUGCAACGCGAAGAACCUUACCUGGUCUUGACAUCCACAGAAGAAUCCAGAGAUGGAUUUGUGCCUUCGGGAACUGUGAGACAGGUGCUGCAUGGCUGUCGUCAGCUCGUGUUGUGAAAUGUUGGGUUAAGUCCCGCAACGAGCGCAACCCUUAUCCUUUGUUGCCAGCGAUUAGGUCGGGAACUCAAAGGAGACUGCCAGUGAUAAACUGGAGGAAGGUGGGGAUGACGUCAAGUCAUCAUGGCCCUUACGACCAGGGCUACACACGUGCUACAAUGGCGCAUACAAAGAGAAGCGACCUCGCGAGAGCAAGCGGACCUCAUAAAGUGCGUCGUAGUCCGGAUUGGAGUCUGCAACUCGACUCCAUGAAGUCGGAAUCGCUAGUAAUCGUGGAUCAGAAUGCCACGGUGAAUACGUUCCCGGGCC